rnacentral:lncRNA from 1 species
CGGCCCAUGAGUCAUCGUAUGCAAUUGGCAGAGGGUGCUCUGGGGCUAACCUGUAGUCAACGGAAAUGGCGAUGAUGUUGGCUUGGGAGACAAGUGAAGUGAGAAAAUGCUUGCUCAUAACGCCGAAGGCCGAUCCCAAGCAAAAUGCUCCACCAUGGUAGUGAACUAGAAGGGGGAGCUUUUGAUCUGAGCCGUUGAUCUUGGGCAGGAAAAUACGAGCCUUGACCCCGGUUUCCGGUGACAUCAUUACAUCUUUGGAUUGGACUCCGGUGGUUGGGUCAAGGCCUGCGUCAACAGAUUGGAACACCCUGUACCUCUCCACACGCCCAUCUUUGUAAACCUUGAAGUAGGGUGGGAAAUCAUGGGUUAUUUCACUCUCGCCAGGAUCCAUCACUAAAUUCAAAUGGGUGAUUAGAAAGAAAAGAGGACUUUGUUUUGUUUUGUUUUGGUUGUGUAAUACGCAAAGCCAUUAAAUUAUGAAGCUAGAAAAGUGACAAAAUUUCUAGUUGAUAGAGUAGGUAAAGUCAAUAAAUAAAUUUGAUGCGUUGUAUAUUUUGGUUGCUGUUCCAUUUUAGUUAAUGAAUUAUUUGUUUCAUCACUCAUGCAUGAAUGACAAUGGCAUGUGAUGUCCCUCGUCAGUCAUGCUACUUGGUAAACAUGCAUCAAUGACAACGGCAUAUGUAUGUCCCUCGUCCUUUAUAAAGACUGACGUUAACUUAUAAGCAAAUAAUCUCCCACCGAUAUGGAUUGCCUACCACCUUUAUUUAUUGUACUUAGUUCGACCCCAGACUGGAAAAAAAUCUAGUAUCAACAGUUGACGCUAGAAAAAAAAUCUAUGUUUUCUUUUACGGCUUGAUGUUUUGCAUCCUUGAGUGAACUGCCUAAAAACUCAAGUUUUCUUCUUAUUCACCUCGAAGCAGGGCUUCUGUCAACACAGUUGUUGAUAACAAUAAUGCAACAAAAGUCACAUCAAUCAUCAAUUUCGCUACAGCAAUUCACUUUUAACUUAAGCAUGUCUUCCUAGACAUAAGUAUUCUUAAAAUUCACUAAAUGCCAGCAAGACUAAGAAGGAGAGGCUCUCAUUCUAAAGGGCUGGGAAAUAUCCUUCCCUAGACGAACUUUGUAGCAAGAAAGUGUGAAAAAUAAACACUCGAGUCGGGAAAAGCAAAAGUUUGCAGACAAUAAGGGAUUUCAAUGUAAAUAUCUAGGAAAGUGGAAAAUACACCUGAAGCCAGCCAAAAGCGUAUAACUUGGCAACCCUAGCUUCGUUGGGAGAAUAAAAUUACACUGUCCAAGAAACUUUGCUACACAGACAUGCUUUGCCUUGAAAAGUUAAGUAUUGCGACCACCACAGUGGUCACCAGGUUUUUCUUAAAACUAUUGGCACUUAAAUCUUCUAAAUUGACAAAGAUUACAUUUUUCAUACAAAAACAUACUAUGUGAGGCUGAACUAGCUUAAGAAAGCCUAUAUAUUAGAGCUAGGAUGAAAGUUCGUAAUAUGAAUUUCUAAGCGAGAUCAAACAGCUGCAUGUUGACGUUUUGAUAAGUCUUGAACUAAUGAUUUAUUUUAUAAGUUCAGAAUAACAUAUUAAAGUGUCCUUAAGAACAUGCAGAAUUAGGUUGUUUGACCUCACUAAAAACUAUAGGCUCAAUGGAAAAAAAAAAAAAUAGAUCCAAGAAAUGAAGAGAACUUGCGCAAUUAGAAGAUAUGAGAUGCCAGAUAAACAAAAAUCACCUUUCACCAAAGAUGAUGCCAAAAACCUCAUAUUACCUAACACAGGAAAAUUUGGCAUAGAAUUUAUUGUGCAAAUUUUAUUGUAUACACAAGCAUACAAAUCUAUUAUCGUAUAGAUUUAUGGUGACGUGUGUUGAUCUAUUACAUAAAAAUAAUUUUUUAUUGGAACUUAUUUCUAUUACAAUUUUCUGGACUUGAUUAUAUCCUUUAACAUUAACAUGGAAUCAAUUUAUUAUAUUCUUAAAAAAGUUUUCAACUUUAUUGCUGCUGAGACUGAGAUAUCUCGCACAAAACAAGAGCUACAACUAUUGAGUACAAUUCAUAACUCUAUGCAUUACUGAUAAAAUGAACCAUUUUCUCAAUGAACGGCCCAACUUUCUCACUGUCUGGAGUAAACAUGUGAAAGCAAUGAUCUUCACCUGAAGUCUCAUAAAAUUCCACGUUACCGCCCCAUUCACUUUUGGCCAAAGUCUCGUAAUACGCCACGCCUCUAUUUCUCAGCCCAUCUUUCUCUGCCACGCAAACCAGCACCCUAUCCCCAGCCAUAUUCUUCAAAUUCGGAUCCACUGCGGGAUUCAAUUUCGGGUCAUCAUCGGAUCCGGAACUACCCGGACACAUGUACUUGUACAAUUCAUGCGGCUCUUUAACUCCAAAGAAUGGGUGCACAAUAAGCAGCCCAUCAAUUUUGAUGCUAGCUAAUUUAGUAGCGCCAGCUUGGACUGCCACGUAGUGUGCUAUGUUGGCUCCGGCACUAUCUCCCCCCAGAAAAACCCGCCCAAGAUCGGCGUGUUCGUUAAGCCAUGGUUCGGGCCCGAGUCCAUUAGAGUGGGCCGCAACCCAUUGUAGCCCGGCCCAUGAGUCAUCGUAUGCAAUUGGUAGAGGGUGCUCUGGGGCUAACCUGUAGUCAACGGAAAUGGCGAUGAUGUUGGCUUGGGAGACAAGUGAGGUGAGAAAAUUGUUGAACAUAACGCCAAAGGCUGAUCCCAAGCAAAAUGCUCCACCAUGGUAGUGAACUAGAAGGGGGAGCUUUUGAUCUGGGCCGUUGAUCUUGGGCAGAAAAAUACGGGCCUUGAC